AUUGAACGCUGGCGGCAUGCCUUACACAUGCAAGUCGAACGGUAACGGGUCCUUCGGGAUGCCGACGAGUGGCGAACGGGUGAGUAAUAUAUCGGAACGUGCCCAGUAGUGGGGGAUAACUGCUCGAAAGAGCAGCUAAUACCGCAUACGACCUGAGGGUGAAAGGGGGGGAUCGCAAGACCUCUCGCUCUUGGAGCGGCCGAUAUCAGAUUAGCUAGUUGGUGGGGUAAAGGCCUACCAAGGCAACGAUCUGUAGUUGGUCUGAGAGGACGACAAGCCACACUGGAACUGAGACACGGACAAGACGACUAAGGGAGGCAGCAGUGGGGAAUUUUGGACAAUGGGCGCAAGCCUGAUCCAGCAAUGCCGCGUGCAGGAAGAAGGCCUUCGGGUUGUAAAGUGCUUUUGUCAGGGAAGAAAUCUUCUGGGCUAAUACCCCGGGAGGAUGACGGUACCUGAAGAAUAAGCACCGGCUAACUACGUG
rnacentral:rRNA from 1 species